GCCCUUCUCGGGUUACCGAAUUCAGAUAAACUCCGAAUGCCAUGUACUUAUACUCGGGAGUCAGACUGCGAGUGAUAAGAUCCGUAGUCGAAAGGGAAACAGCCCAGACCACCAGUUAAGGUCCCCACAUAUAUGUUAAGUGGAAAAGGAUGUGGGGUUGCUUAGACAACCAGGAUGUUGGCUUAGAAGCAGCCACCAUUGAAAGAGUGCGUAAUAGCUCACUGGUCGAGUGACCCCGCGCCGAAAAUGUACCGG
rnacentral:rRNA from 1 species